rnacentral:tRNA from 1 species
ACCUGGGUGCCUCAGUCGGCUAAGUGUCUGACUUUGGCUCAGGUCAUGAUCUCACAGUUUGUGGGUUCAAGCCCCACAUCAGGUU